AUUGAACGCUGGCGGCAGGCCUAACACAUGCAAGUCGAGCGAGUGGCGGACGGGUGAGUAAUGUCUGGGGAUCUGCCUGAUGGCGGGGGAUAACUACUGGAAACGGUAGCUAAUACCGCAUACCAUCAGAUGUGCCCAUAUGGGAUUAGCUUGUAGGUGGGGUAACGGCUCACCUAGGCGACGAUCCCUAGCUGGUCUGAGAGGAUGAUCAGCCACACUGGGACUGAGACACGGCCCAGACUCCUACGGGAGGCAGCAGUGGGGAAUAUUGCACAAUGGGCGCAAGCCUGAUGCAGCCAUGCCGCGUGUAUGAAGAAGGCCUUCGGGUUGUAAAGUACUUUCAGCGGGGAGGCGUUACCGGCAGAAGAAGCACCGGCUAACUCCGUGCCAGCAGCCGCGGUAAUAC
rnacentral:rRNA from 1 species